rnacentral:tRNA from 1 species
GGGGCUGUAGUUUAGAGGGAGAACAUUUGACUGGCAGUCAAAAGGUCGGGGGUUCGAGUCCCCCCAGCUCCA